UGGGUUGUGGCUCAGUGCUAGAGCACUUGCCUAGUGUGUGAGAUGCCCUGGGUUCGAUCCUCAGCACCACAU
rnacentral:tRNA from 1 species